rnacentral:rRNA from 2 species
GUUUGAGAUUUGAGAGGGGCUGCUCCUAGUACGAGAGGACCGGAGUGGACGAACCUCUGGUGUUCCGGUUGUCACGCCAGUGGCAUUGCCGGGUAGCUAUGUUCGGAAAAGAUAACCGCUGAAAGCAUCUAAGCGGGAAACUUGCCUCAAGAUGAGAUCUCACUGGGAACUUGAUUCCCCUGAAGGGCCGUCGAAGACUACGACGUUGAUAGGCUGGGUGUGUAAGCGUUGUGAGGCGUUGAGCUAACCAGUACUAAUUGCCCGUGAGGCUUGACCAUAUAACACCCAAACA